rnacentral:ribozyme from 1 species
CCCUGGCUCAGCCGGCCACCUCAACGUGUUGUCAGGGUCUAGUGCUCUUUGCCAGAGAGGAAGCUAAGUGCCUG